rnacentral:lncRNA from 1 species
GGCUAGGACACCCAAGAUGGUGGCCAUUGCCAUUGGACAUUGGCUUUGAUGACACAAGAUGGCGGCCAUUGGCUUUGGACACCCAAGAUGGCGGCCAUUGGUGACACAAGAUGGCAGCCAUUGGCUUUGGACACUGAAGAUGGCGGCCAAUGGACCCAUCAGAAAGCCAAUAUGGUCAUAAAUUGGACCCAAUCGAGAAACCAAUUGGACCCAUCAGAACCCUUGGGACCCAUCAGAACCCAUUGGGACCCAUCAAACCAAAUUGGACCAUCAGAACCAUUGGACCCAUCAGAACCGAAUUGGGACCAUCAGAACGCCAUUGGACCAUCAGAACCAAUUGGACCCAUAUCAAAGCAACCAAUUGCGGUCAGCAAUGGACCCAGUCAGCCCCAUUGGACCCAUCAGAACCAAUUGGGAGACCCUCAGAACCAAUUGGGACCCAUCAGAACCAAUAUUGGGUCAGCAUUGGACCCAUCAGAACCAAUUGGACCCAUCAGAACCCAUUGGGACCCAUCAGAACCCAUUGGGACCCAUCAGAACCCAUUGGGACCCAUCAGAACCAAUUGGACCCAUCAGAACCCAUUGGGACCCAUCAGAACCCAUUGGGACCCAUCAGAACCAAUUGGGACCCAUCAGAACCAAUUGGACCCAUCAGAACCCAUUGGACCCAUCAGAACCAUUGUGACCCCAUGCAGAACCAAUGUGGACCCCAUCAGAACCGCAUUGCGGAACCCAUCAAACCAAUUGGCCAUCAAGAACCCAUUGGACCCAUCAGAACAAAUAUUGGUCAGCAUUGGACCCAUCAGAACAAUAUGGGAACCCAUCAGAACCCAUUGGACCAUCAGGAACCAAUUGCGGACCAUCAGAACCCACUUGGACCCAUCAGAACCCAUUGGACCCAUCAGAACCCAUUGGGACCCAUCAGAAACCAAUAUGGGUCAGUAUAUGGGACCAUCAAACCAAUUGGACCCAUGCAGAACCAAAUUGAAACCCAUCAGAUACCCAUUGGGACCACAUCAGCAACCCAUUGGACCCGUAUUAGGGGGGGUCCCUAUAGUUUGUAGUGUUGGGCUGGGAUAUAGGGUUGUUUUAUGGGGGCGGCGGGCGGCAUAUUUUGGGGUAGAAAUGAGAAGUUGGGGUUUGUGGGGGGGGGAGGAGAUUUUGGGGGUGUUUUGUAAUAAAGAAGUGAAAGAAAUUGAGGGGUUCUUUUUUGGGGGGGGGUCUGGGACCCUAUAAAGUGG